UCGGGAAUUUUGCACAAUGGCCGAAAGGCUGAUGCAGCAACGCCGCGUGAGCGAAGAAGGCCUUCGGGUUGUAAAGCUCUGUUGCCUGCGAAGAAGGGCCCUGUCAGGAAAUGGGCGGGGUUUGACGGUAGCAGGCGAGGAAGCCCCGGCAAACUACGUGCCAGCAGCCGCGGUAAUACGUAGGGGGCGAGCGUUGUCCGGAAUUACUUGGCGUAAAGGGCGUGUAAGCGGACUGUUAAGUCAGGGGUGAAAGACCGGGGCUCAACCCCGAGGGUGCCUCUCGACCUGGCGGGCUUGCGUGCUCUAGCGGGCGGUGGCAUGCCCGGUGUAGCAGUGAAAUGCGUAGAGAUCGGGAGGAACGCCAGUGGCGAAGGCGGCUGACUCGGGAGUCACUGACGCUGAGGCGCGAAAGCUAGGGGAGCGAACAGG
rnacentral:rRNA from 1 species